rnacentral:rRNA from 1 species
UACGGGGGGGGCAAGCGUUGUUCGGAAUUACUGGGCGUAAAGGGCGCGUAGGCGGCCCUCUAAGUCGGACGUGAAAUCCCCAGGCUUAACCUGGGAACUGCAUCCGAUACUGGAUGGCUUGAAUCCGGGAGAGGGAUGCGGAAUUCCAGGUGUAGCGGUGAAAUGCGUAGAUAUCUGGAGGAACACCGGUGGCGAAGGCGGCAUCCUGGACCAACACUGACACUGAGGAGCGAAAGCCAGGGGAGCAAACGGG